rnacentral:snoRNA from 1 species
UUGCAAAUCAACUACAGCACUGCAUAUCUAUUGCUCUGUUGUCGUUCCCUUUGCAUAGAGUAAUUGUGGACUCGCUAUCCUGGGUUACCCACCAUGUGGUUUCACAGGACGAGGUUCACAAACAA